GGANUUCNAAUGGGCGAAAGCCUGAUGCAGCAACGCCGCGUGGGGGAUGAAGCUUCUCGGAGUGUAAACCCCUUUCGACCCGGAAGAAAGCCCGCAAGGGUUUGACGGUACGGGUAUAAGAAGCCCCGGCUAACUACGUGCCAGCAGCCGCGGUAAAACGUAGGGGGCCAGCGUUGCUCGGAAUUACUGGGCGUAAAGGGUCCGUAGGCGGUGUGGCAAGUCGGUAGUGAAAUCUCUGGGCUUAACCCAGAGGCUGCUGCCGAAACUGCCGUGCUAGAGUGUGAGAGAGGCGAGUGGAAUUACGGGUGUAGCGGUGAAAUGCGUAGAUAUCCGUAGGAACAUCCGAGGCGAAAGCGGCUCGCUGGAUCACAACUGACGCUGAGGGACGAAAGCUAGGGGAGCAAACAGGAUUAGAUACCCUGGUAGUCCUAGCCCUAAACCAUCAGGACUUGGGGUGUGCCCUGUACGGGGCACGUCCCGUAGCUAACGCGUUAAGUCCUGCGCCUGGGGAGUACGGUCGCAAGGCUGAAACUCAAAAAAAUUGACGGA
rnacentral:rRNA from 1 species